GAAGAGGUCCCUCAGGCAAUCUACAUUCAUUGCCACGCACACGUCUCAAUCUUGUUUUGGUGGACUGUGUCAGAAACGUGAAGCCAGCGGGAGAUUUUGUUGUCACACGUAUCUGUCACACUGUCAGUAACCUCCGUGUCAUGUGAGCGCAGUUUUCCCUGCAUGCGGCAUGUAAAAACCUACCUGAGAAACAGAAUGGCAGACCCUCCACUCAGCAACCUUGCCUGCCUGUCCAUACACGCAGAAAGAACAAAGGCCAUGGAUGUCCAGAAAUUUAUAGGCUCAUUUGCACUGAACCACAACAACAGACGCAUCAUCCUUCUAUAAAACAACACUUGAGCCGCGCCUGUCCGGUGGCGGGAUCAUGAUUCAAUCACGCUGAUCUGGAUCUGGAUGGAACAAGAAGACGCAUGCGUUUUGUCAUGUAUUUGUCAUGUAUUACAUGUAUUUUUGUAAUAUAAAUAUAAUCACUAAGAUUGUGAUAGCCAGUUCGUUUUACAAGUGUGUGCACAGUUAAUAGGCGUAGGUUAAAUGCAUUGCACUUCUCGUUGUGGCUGCGCUUUGGAUAUUAUUAAUUUCAUUUUGGACGUUGUGAUAGCCAUUUCAUCCGAAACAUUAUUACCAAUGCACAGUUGUCUGAUUAUGCAUAUGGAAUAAAUGCACUUCUUGUUGUUGUCGCA